rnacentral:rRNA from 1 species
UUCGCCCUUCGGUUGAUCCUGCCGGAGGUUACUGCUAUCGGUGUUCGACUAAGCCAUGCGAGUCAAAUGUUCUUCGUGAACAUGGCGGACUGCUCAGUAACACGUGGAUAACCUGCCCUUAGGUUUGGCAUAACUCCGGGAAACUGGAGAUAAUUCCGAAUAGGUCAAAUAUGCUGGAAUGCUUUUUGGCCAAAAGACCUCGGUUGCCUAAGGAUGGAUCUGCGGUCUAUCAGGUUGUAGUGGGUGUAACGUACCUACUAGCCUACGACGGAUAUGGGUUGUGAGAGCAAGAGCCCAGAGAUGGAUUCUGAGACAUGAAUCCAGGCCCUACGGGGCGCAGCAGGCGCGAAAACUUUACAAUGCGGGAAACCGCGAUAAGGGGACACCGAGUGCCAGCAUUUAUGUUGGCUGUCCACAUGUGUAAACGGCAUGUGUUAGCAAGGGCCGGGCAAGACCGGUGCCAGCCGCCGCGGUAACACCGGCGGCCCGAGUGGUAAUCACUUUUAUUGGGUCUAAAGGGUCCGUAGCCGGUUUGAUCAGUUCUUCGGGAAAUCUGACAGCUCAACUGUUAGGCUUCCGGGGAAUACUGUCAGACUUGGGACCGGGAGAGGUAAGAGGUACUACAGGGGUAGGAGUGAAAUCUUGUAAUCCCUGUGGGA